CCUGCCUGCAUUGUCAGGUCAGCCCCUUCCAAAGGAACCAUUUCUUGUUCCAGCUGACACUUGCUGUGAGCACCUGGAGCUGCCAGAGGGGCUGUCAGGCUGCCAGGGAGCUCAGCCACUCCCCAGGGCUCCCCUCAGACCCUGCCCAAAAGGAGCAGCUCAGGAAUAACCAGGCAGAGCUCAGAGGGCUCCAGUUCCCCUGGAGCUGCUGCAGGAGCCCUGGACACUCGGGGUGCUGCUCAGCCUUUCAUUUGUGGUGCUGCAAUGAAGGACAAAUGUGGGGAAUUCCUAACGAUGCCACGACCCUGGAGACCCAGAGAUCUGGAGAAUCUGGACAGCAUGGAAGGUUGGAUUCACUGAUACCCUGUAGAGGCGAUUCCCUCCUUGCCCUUUGGAGGUUUCUCACCGACAUGACUCACAUUUCUGCAGGAAAUCUGCAUUUUUUUGGCAUUCCCAAGGGGCUGCUGGUGUGCUCCAGGUCUCUGUUUUCCUGUCUGGAAUGCUGCUAAAGAGCUCUGAGGGUGAUUUAUAGCUGCCAAGGCUCUGCAGUGGUUUUUCUCUGGAGCUAAGGAUUAUUCUCCCCAGGAUCUCCAUCUCCAAGUCCUCCUGUGGCUCCUGCAGUUGUGCCUUUCAGCUGUUUGUCUUGCCAGGGCUGAUCUUCGUUUGAUUUGCAUCUCAUGUGCUGCCACAAGAAGUGCUUUGUCUUCACCCGCCUGGUGACAAAGAAGAGGCAGAGAAAGAGCAGAUAAAGCCUCCCCUGGUGUCCCUGAGCACUGGAGCUGUCACAGGGGGACUAAAGAUGCCCUGUCACAGGGGAAGGAAGUGUUCUGCAAUGAUCACAUCAUCCCAGCAGCCUUUUCUGGGAAGUGCCACCACCAAACCUCCUCAGGCACCACUUCCGAGCCCCUCCAGCCCCUCCUGUCCUGCUCUUCCCAAUCCCUGUGGCUUUACCUGGGCCUGGCUCUGGAGCCAAACCCAGCUGCUCCUCCCUGCCAGCCUCCUCCUUCCGUUUGUUUAUCAAAAUUCUCCGUGGCUUCCACAUUCAUUAGCAGUUUGCCAUCUGCUGUCUUAAUAAAGUAAUAAAUGAG